AACGAACGCUGGCGGCAUGCCUAACACAUGCAAGUCGAACGAGACCUUCGGGUCUAGUGGCGCACGGGUGCGUAACGCGUGGGAAUCUGCCCUUGGGUUCGGAAUAACAGUUAGAAAUGACUGCUAAUACCGGAUGAUGUCGUAAGACCAAAGAUUUAUCGCCCAAGGAUGAGCCCGCGUAGGAUUAGCUAGUUGGUGGGGUAAAGGCCUACCAAGGCGACGAUCCUUAGCUGGUCUGAGAGGAUGAUCAGCCACACUGGGACUGAGACACGGCCCAGACUCCUACGGGAGGCAGCAGUGGGGAAUAUUGGACAAUGGGCGAAAGCCUGAUCCAGCAAUGCCGCGUGAGUGAUGAAGGCCCUAGGGUUGUAAAGCUCUUUUACCCGGGAUGAUAAUGACAGUACCGGGAGAAUAAGCCCCGGCUAACUCCGUGCCAGCCGCCGCCGUAAAAC
rnacentral:rRNA from 1 species